UACGAAGGGGGCUAGCGUUGUUCGGAAUCACUGGGCGUAAAGCGCACGUAGGCGGAUCUUUAAGUCAGGGGUGAAAUCCCGAGGCUCAACCUCGGAACUGCCUUUGAUACUGGGGGAUCUCGAGUCCGGGAGAGGUGAGUGGAACUGCGAGUGUAGAGGUGAAAUUCGUAGAUAUUCGCAAGAACACCAGUGGCGAAGGCGGCUCACUGGCCCGGAACUGACGCUGAGGUGCGGAAGCGUGGGGAGCAAACAGG
rnacentral:rRNA from 1 species